rnacentral:rRNA from 1 species
UACAGAGGUCUCAAGCGUUGUUCGGAUUCAUUGGGCGUAAAGGGUGCGUAGGCGGGCAGGUAAGUCCGUGGUGAAAUCUCUGAGCUUAACUCAGAAACUGCCAUGGAUACUAUUUGUCUUGAAUAUUGUGGAGGUAAGCGGAAUAUGUCAUGUAGCGGUGAAAUGCUUAGAUAUGACAUAGAACACCAAUUGCGAAGGCAGCUUACUACACAGUUAUUGACGCUGAGGCACGAAAGCGUGGGGAUCAAACAGG